UUUCUAGUGGUAACCUUAAUAAUAAAUAAUUGUGCACCACAAAAAUAAGAGAGGCUUCUAACUGUAGAGUGAAUGGGUGGUGUCGGAGGUUGAGCUGGACUAAGCUCCACCCAUUACGACCAGAGAAGGGGUGCUGGACGUUAUUUUAAGCUCUGCAGUGAGCACCACUUGCACAAUAAUAGUAUUUAGUAUUAGUAAUAGCUAUUUUAGUUGCAGAGUACAACCGCAAAUGUGAACGAUAUUGUAAACGAGCGUGUAUACAUAUAUAUCGUUUUUCCGUUCCACUGAACUUUUCCAUUGUUUUUCUACGUUGUUUUUAAUUGGUUUCGGUUUUGUUUAUGCUCAGCCAAGCGCGCAUGUGGAGUGUUGCCAUGUCCACUUAUUUAUAGCAUGUUUAGGUUUCUUAUUUUCUUCCAAUAUUAAGCUGGACUGUGUACGUGUGUACGGACAAUCAUUCACAUCUGAACAUCGCUUAGACACUAAAAUCUAGUUGAUAACCUAAAUAAAAAGCGGACGAGCGUCUUCUCAUCUAGUCUCCUCGGCCACAGCAAACACGGAAGUGUACCGUUUUAACCGAGAUCGAGAUAAACACAGGCUACUUUCUUCCGGGAAACACAGAGUGGUGGAACACAGAAAGUAAUGAGAGGAAAAGAUGCAAUGAAUAUUAAUGCAGAAGCAGCACCACAAGACUGCAGCUACGAUCAACAGAGAUCCAGCAGCAGCAGAAAUCAGCACUAUGUACAAUAAAGCAGAAGCAGUACCACAAGACUGCAGCUACGAUCAACAGAGAUCCAGCAGCAGCAGAAAUCAGCACUUUGUACAAUAAAGUUGGCACAUCAGAUAUCAGAUACCAGAACAAACCUGCCCCACUUCAUUGUCAUUGCUGUUGCUAUGUCUGACAAGCCCAUGAUGGUGAAAAAUGCAUCACAGAACAAAGAGG